CGCUAAGGAAAGUUUCCCGCCCUCAACAGGGGCUCUGCUGAAUUCUCCUCCCACUUGAGUGGCAAGACCAAAAGCUAGGUGACGUCAUCGCCUUCCUGACGCUAACUGCAUUUCACUUCGAAGAGAGCGAAAACUUCCGGUAUACCCCUGGAUUGGUUUCCCGCCCCCACCCUUCCCCUCCAAUGCAAAGCGGGCAUUUGUCAUAGAGCUGCCACAGGGCUGGAGCGGCACAGUUACACCACAGCGUGACGGCUUUCAAUGGCCACCGGAAGUGCAGGCUGUGUUGCCGCUCCAGGAAUGGCCGAGCUUCACUUCUCUCUCCCGUUCUAUGUGCCCCUCCCCCCCCCCGCAUGCACCCCGAGAGCGUUGUGGGAGGUUCCUUGAGGAAGGUCUUCUUCCGCUUCCUGCUUCCCUUCUUCCUUUCACGUGGUGAGUAGCGGGGAGCAGGGUUUAAAAGGAGCGAAUAAGUUCAAGCAGGCGCGCGAUCUCUUUUUGCCAUCCAGUUUAUUUGGAAAAGUUGUUACGAGACCUUACUGCUUGAAGGGGGGAAAACUAUGCACCAGAUCAACUCUGCAUGCUAAGUGGAUGAGCCCCCAAACCGCGCUGGAUUAAGAGUACCUGCUGAUUUUGUAGUCUUGGUAAGUUUGUGAGGAGCAAAUAUAGACUUUGGAUUAUAGGCAUCUUCAACCUUUUCAGGCCCAGGACCCGCUUUUAACCCAAACAUGAAGUUGGCAACCCAUUUCUUACUCUUUUACCAUAUAUUUGCAUGGUGAUACUGCUCCGGUUGCAAACCACCUUGGAUCAGGCUACUACCUUACCUACCAGUUUAAGAAUAGUGUUCUACAUAUUAAAAUUUCAAUUGUGUUCUGUUCAUGGCUGGGGAGCCCAUCACAGUUCCAGUUUGGCCUGCUUAACCCAAACCACACCCAUCUGUCACAUUGGGUGUGGUGGCUUCUGGCUUCAACUGAAGCGUCCAGUUCUCGCUCUUAACUUUAAAGUGGAAAAUAAUGCUGGUUAUUUGUAAUCCUUUUGAGAAGUCUAAAUUAUCAAGUACCAAAAAUGCUUGUUUACAUCUAUGCUAUAGUCAGAGACCAUUGCUUUGGGUGUACUGGUAGUGAUUUGGAAGCUGCCUUCUGUUACAAAACUCUUAAAACUGCAAAUACAUUUAACUGAAGCAAGUUGUUCUCCAUCAACCUUACUUUCGGCCAGCACAACUUUCUACUCUCAAUCUGGGUAUGUCAUUCCACCAAUGUUUCAGUAAACUUGUUUCUGUCAGUCUGCAUCCAGUCUGAGGGUUCUGCACAUCUGAUAUGUUGCUAAUGCCACUUAAGUUUGUAUUGCAAUUCUUAAAUAGUUCUGAAUAGGCUUGAGUUUAUAUUGUGAGGGAAUACUUCCAUUUUUUAAGUAUUUUAUUAUUUUUUAAUAAAAAGUUUGCAUAAAA